rnacentral:rRNA from 1 species
UUCGCCCUUAGAGUUUGAUCCUGGCUCAGGACGAACGCUGGCGGCGUGCCUAACACAUGCAAGUCGAACGGAGAUGUUUAUUUCGGUAGACAUCUUAGUGGCGCACGGGUGAGUAACGCGUGAAUAACCUGACCCGAAGAGGGGGAUAACACCUGGAAACAAGUGCUAAUACCGCAUAAGACCACGAACCGGCAUCGGAAAGGGGUCAAAGGAGGAAUCCGCUUUGGGAGGGGUUCGCGUCCCAUUAGGUAGUUGGUGAGGUAACGGCCCACCAAGCCGACGUUGGGUAGCCGAGCUGAGAGGCUGAUCGGCCACACUGGAACUGAGACACGGUCCAGACUCCUACGGGAGGCAGCAGUGGGGAAUAUUGGGCAAUGGGCGCAAGCCUGACCCAGCAACGCCGCGUGAGGGAAGAAGGUUUUCGGAUUGUAAACCUCUGUCGCAGGGGACGAAGGAAGUGACGGUACCCUGUAAGAAAGCCCCGGCUAACUACGUGCCAGCAGCCGCGGUAAUACGUAGGUGGCAAGCGUUGUCCGGAUUUACUGGGUGUAAAGGGCGUGUAGCCGGGGGAGCAAGUCAGAUGUGAAAUCUAUGGGCUUAACCCAUAAACUGCAUUUGAAACUGUUCUUCUUGAGUGCUGGAGGGGCAAUCGGAAUUCCUUGUGUAGCGGUGAAAUGCGUAGAUAUAAGGAGGAACACCAGUGGCGAAGGCGGAUUGCUGGACAGUAACUGACGGUGAGGCGCGAAAGUGUGGGGAGCAAACAGGAUUAGAUACCCUGGUAGUCCACACUGUAAACGAUGAAUACUAGGUGGUGCGGGGACUGACCCCCUUCGUACCGCCAGUAAACACAAUAAGUAUUCCACCUGGGGAAUACGAUCGCAAGGUUGAAACUCAAAGGAAUGGACGGGGGCCCGCAUAAGCGGUGGAUUAUGUGGUUUAAUUCGAAGCAACGCGAAGAACCUUACCAGGUCUUGACAUCCCUCUGACCGGAACUUAACCGUUCCUUUCCUUCGGGACAGAGGAGACAGGUGGUGCAUGGUUGUCGUCAGCUCGUGUCGUGAGAUGUUGGGUUAAGUCCCGCAACGAGCGCAACCCCUAUCCUCAGUAGCCAGCGGUCAGGCCGGGCACUCUGUGGAGACUGCCAGGGAUAACCUGGAGGAAGGUGGGGACGACGUCAAAUCAUCAUGCCCCUUAUGAUCUGGGCUACACACGUGCUACAAUGGCAGUUACAAUGUGAAGCAAACCCGCGAGGGGGAGCAAACCACAAAAAGGCUGUCUCAGUUCGGAAAGUAGUCUGCAACCCGACUACACGAAGCUGGAAUCGCUAGUAAUCGUGAAUCAGAAUGUCACGGU